AUUGAACGCUGGCGGCAGGCCUAACACAUGCAAGUCGAGCGGAUGAAGGGAGCUUGCUCCUGGAUUCAGCGGCGGACGGGUGAGUAAUGCCUAGGAAUCUGCCUGGUAGUGGGGGAUAACGUCCGGAAACGGGCGCUAAUACCGCAUACGUCCUGAGGGAGAAAGUGGGGGAUCUUCGGACCUCACGCUAUCAGAUGAGCCUAGGUCGGAUUAGCUAGUUUGUGGGGUAAAGGCCUACCAAGGCGACGAUCCGUAACUGGUCUGAGAGGAUGAUCAGUCACACGGGAACUGAGACACGGUCAAGACUACUAAGGGAGGCAGCAGUGGGGAAUAUUGGACAAUGGGCGAAAGCAUGAUACAGCCAUGCCGCGUGUGUGAAGAAGGUCUUCGGAUUGUAAAGCACUUUAAGUUGGGAGGAAGGGCAGUAAGUUAAUACCUUGCUGUUUUGACGUUACCAACAGAAUAAGCACCGGCUAACUUCGUG
rnacentral:rRNA from 1 species